UACAGAGGUGCCAAGCGUUGUUCGGAUUUAUUGGGCGUAAAGGGCGCGUAGGCGGCUUGGCAAGUCAAAGGUGAAAUCCCUCGGCUCAACUGAGGAACUGCCUUUGAAACUGCCUGGCUAGAGUCCGGAAGAGGAGAGUGGAAUUCCCGGUGUAGCGGUGAAAUGCGCAGAUAUCGGGAAGAACACCCGUGGCGAAGGCGGCUCUCUGGGACGGUACUGACGCUGAGACGCGAAAGCGUGGGGAGCGAACAGG
rnacentral:rRNA from 1 species